UGGGGAAUUUUGGACAAUGGGCGAAAGCCUGAUCCAGCAAUGCCGCGUGUGUGAAGAAGGCCUUCGGGUUGUAAAGCACUUUUGUCCGGAAAGAAAUCCUUGGCUCUAAUACAGUCGGGGGAUGACGGUACCGGAAGAAUAAGCACCGGCUAACUACGUGCCAGCAGCCGCGGUAAUACGUAGGGUGCAAGCGUUAAUCGGAAUUACUGGGCGUAAAGCGUGCGCAGGCGGUUUGCUAAGACCGAUGUGAAAUCCCCGGGCUCAACCUGGGAACUGCAUUGGUGACUGGCAGGCUAGAGUAUGGCAGAGGGGGGUAGAAUUCCACGUGUAGCAGUGAAAUGCGUAGAGAUGUGGAGGAAUACCGAUGGCGAAGGCAGCCCCCUGGGCAAUACUGACGCUCAUGCACGAAAGCGUGGGGAGCAAACAGGAUUAGAUACCCUGGUAGUCCACGCCCUAAACGAUGUCAACUAGUUGUUGGGGAUUCAUUUCCUAGUAACGUAGCUAACGCGUGAAGUUGACCGCCUGGGGAGUACGGUCGCAAGAUUAAAACUCAAAUGAAUUGACGGGGUCAUAGCUGUUUCCU
rnacentral:rRNA from 1 species